rnacentral:rRNA from 1 species
GACAGAGGUGCCGAGCGUUAGGCGGGAUCACUGGGCUUAAAGCGUGUGUAGGUGGUUGCCUAGGUCCCUUGUGAAAUCCCCGGGCUCAACCUGGGAACUGCAUUUGUGACUGCAAGGCUGGAGUACGGCAGAGGGGGAUGGAAUUCCGCGUGUAGCAGUGAAAUGCGUAGAUAUGCGGAGGAACACCGAUGGCGAAGGCAAUCCCCUGGGCCUGGACUGACGCUCAUGCACGAAAGCGUGGGGAGCAAACAGG